rnacentral:lncRNA from 1 species
AAUUCUAGAUAAGUAGAUGUAAAGUUAACGAAUAAUCUGAUAUUCAUGAAAAUCUAUGAAAUAUUGCUACUGGUCAAUACUAUAAGCUGAAAGCUUUAUUCUGAAAACUGAAUUAACUGAAUUCCAUAAUCUGAAAUCUGAGAACUGAAUAAAUACUGAAAAAUCACACCAUGAACAGUACCCAAUGAAUAGCCUUACUCAUGUACAGAGUAAUCUCGAUGUACAAGGCAAAGCCAUUCAAAUCUGAUAAUCUGGUCAUACGUACGCAGAGCUGCCCCAAAAGCUAAUCACCCUAGUACA